rnacentral:lncRNA from 10 species
CGCUGACUUUCCUUCUUUAAUCUCUGAUGGUCGUUAUCUGUGGGCCCACUGGACUAUCUCGCGCGUGCACGCGGAACCGGAGGUGGGUGGAGGGUGGAAUGAGAGAGAAACCCAUCCGCAGAAGGAGGGGCCCUACCUUACUCAGUCUUCAGCCCGGACAGAAGCAAAACCACAGGCCCCCUCUCCCACCCCACUCGCGCCGCGUUUCCUUUCCAGCCUCUUCCCUGAGACACUAGAUCAGGACCAUUUGCCUUUUCUUAUCUCUGUGUGUUUCCUAACACAAUUUUAAAACACCUCUGAGGCUUCAUAGAGGGGUAAAGUGUCAAAAGAAAUACACGAAUAAGAGUAAAACGUGCCGUCUUCACAGCCUUUAUCAAGAAAGCAGCCACAGUUGCUGCUGCUCUGGCCGCACCUCAGCGGACUGGUUUGUCCUCAUUGGUUUGUCCUCAUUUGUUUUUUAACUCGGCCUUAAUCUCUGGACUUUGUUAUGCCUUAAAACAGACACACACAUACACACACUUGAAAAUUGCCUUAACCCCCAGAUCAUACUCAUUUGUUCCAUUCAGAUGUUUACCUCGGAAUUAAGGACUUCUGUAUAGGAUUUGAGAGAAAACACAACAGCCCAUUCUUACUGACCUUUGGUAAAGUUCUGCGUGGGAAAGGGAGCAAGAAGGAGUAUCCUUAUAUAAGAAGUUCUUCAAGGAUGAGAGGACCUUUACUAAAAUUUUUUCUGCUGCUCAGAAUUUAGUUUACUAAAUUUUAGUUUGAGUGUGAAAAUAGAUGAGAAAAGGAAAAAGGCAUUUUGCAAAGCUAGCAGUUAUAAUGUAUUACAGUGGAUCCAGGGCUUAGAGUCAGACAGGCCAGAUUCCAUUCCAAACUCCAUCUUUACGCUUUCUGUGCCUACCAAUUAUAACUGUCAACAGGAAUUCUAUAAUCUAGCUCACGGAGUCACAGUCACAUUUACAGGAGUUAAAAUAGAGUUGUGAUAGGCGCAGAGAAAAUACUCAAUAAAUAUUUGGUUCUUAUAUCCCACCAUGUUUUACUGUAAUUAGGAGAGAGGGUGGUGCUAGAAAUUUUCCCCCAAAGACCCUGUAACUGAAUCAGUUUUCUUCUCCUUAAUGCUUUUUCCAUUUAAAAAGGCAUCAUUUCACAAUUUUUGAAAUGGAAACUAUGUUUACAGAUUAACUAGUUCCAGCUGAACUCCCUUAUUUUAAAUACAAGGUAACUGAAGUCUAGGGCUCUUAAGUGACUUUCCCCAAAUCUCAUGGUUUGGAGGUACUAAAGCUAAUAUCAGAAAUCAGUCCUCAUAAUAACUUGGCUGGGGUCCUCUUUUAACUGUUUUUCUCUUUAUCACAAUAGUCAAGCACACAUAAAAAUAAUUAUAUUAAAAAUAUUAAUCUCAGGACAAAUGCUAGUUUUUUUCUGUAAAUAACUCUUAAGCAAUUAAUUUAUGAACAAUCAUUAAAAAUUAAAUAAUGUCAUUUAGAUGAUCACUUGGUAUCAAUGUGAUUAUAAAAAUAAAACAAAUGGUAGUCCAGUAUUUAGGAAUAAGGAGGUUGAUGAGAUGAACGAAUCCAUGCUUACAUUAUAUAUUUACACAUAGAUAUUUUGGGUUUUUUAGCCAUAAUAUUAAAAGAUUAUAAUAACUCUCGAUUCCCAAGAAUACAUCAACAUACCACUACAGUUGGCUGACCCUAGUUUGUGAACAACUAGAUCAGUGUUCAGGACACACAAUUCAACUUGAACAAGUUCAAGGCCAAAGAACAAAAUCAGGCUACAGAGAUCAAACUUUCCAUCCUGUGAAAUAAUGGAAAAUCCCAUAGCAUGUACUUAUUUCUCAUUCAUUUGCCUCUAGUACCUGUAAGAAGGUCUUUUUAAAAAAUUCUUCCUUACCAUAUACAAUGUUGAAAAUCAUCUGAACAUUUACAUAACUAACUCCCAUGUUCUCAGGGAUGAGACCCUAUAUACUCCUUCUAAGUAAGAGUUAUUUACUACUCCGGCCUCAUCCUCAGUUUCCUAAAGGCAUAUCAUAGCCUCUUUAGAGAUCUGUCUUUCCUAUCCAUAAGACUUGGAAGAUCCUAAAGAGGGAAAAAAAAAUAUGGCUACAAAGCACAUCCAUCAUGAAUGGAUAAAUGAAGAUAGAUGAGUCCUCAUAACUGUCUUUUUCCAAUCGUUACAUACAGUGCUAAAGAUUACUCACUUUUAUAUUUUCUCCCACUGUUUAAAGUCUUUAAACUUGCUAUUGCUUUGUAAUUUUUAUAACCUGACUUUUGAUAUGAUCUUCUUUGUGAAAUGGCUUAGAGGUAUAAAAAUCUCAAGAGUGUCAGAACCAAGUUUUUAAAAACAAUAGAACCAAAUGGAACAAGAUUUUAAAACAAAUUUAUAGCAUGCCCCAGGAAGUGAAGAAGGGAGAUGCCAAAGAAAAGGGUUGCAGAAGCCUAGCAGGGCACUACGAUGACAAAUACGCCUAAUUUUACCUACUGCAAAUACCUCAGAUUUCCAUUUGAAAGUUCUUCACAUUCAUCAUAGGUUCAUAUAGACCCUGAUAGAAACUCAGCAGCUUUCCAGUAAUUUUUAUUUUUAUUUAUUUAUUUAUUUUUUUUUUUUGAGGCGGAGUCUUGCUUUGUCGCCCAGGCUGGAGUGCAGUGGUGCGAUCUUGGCUCACUGCAAGCUCCGCCUCCGUGUUCACACCGUUCUCCUUCCUCAGCCGCCCGAGUAGCUGGGACUACAGGCGGCCGCCACCAUGCCCGGCUAUUUUUUUUUUUUUUUUUUUUUUUUUUUGUAUUUUUAGUAGAGACAAGAUUUCACUCUGCUAGCCAGGAUGGUCUCAAUCUCCUGACCUCGUGAUCCACCCGCCUCGGCCUGCCAAAGUGCUGGGAUUACAGGUGUGAGCCACCACGCCUGGCCUCCAGUAUUUUUAAAUUAAUUUUCUUGCUCAAACCAGAAUUAAGUUUCUCUUACCCUAACUAAGGGAACUUUGGCUAAGACAAAAAAACGACCUGUUACUUACCUUAAGAAAACCAAUUUUAUUUCUGAUUAUUGCAAAAGCACACAAAAAAUAUGCUGGUUGUUUAGCCCUAUAUUUCUGCAAAACCAACAUUUAAAGUAUUUGACAACUUUUUAAAAACUGUAAUGAAAACCAAGACUGAAAUUCAAAUUUCAGUCAUGUGAUUUGAAAGGGGGUCAUGUUUCUGUUUGUCAUGUGUAACAGUGGCCAAAUAUCCUAUGAGUUCCUAGGGGCUCUGGGUUCCAAAGUUACUGUGUUACAUUUACCUUCAAACCUCUAUCAUUUUAUCUGUCAUUCUGAAAGAAUCGCUUUAUUUUGAUCUUCUUGAUUAAGAACAUGAAACAUGACCAUUGCAAAAAAAGAAAAAAAAAUAGGAGGGCAACUGCAAAAGGGAAAUAAAUAUCACCUGUAUUCCCAUCACCAAAAGUACCUAUUGCUCACAUUUUCUCUAUAUGCUCCAAGGUUUGUUGAGGCCUCUGAGAGACCCGGAUAAAUAGUAUCCCUUCUUUAUGCCUGGGUGGGGAAUAAAUUGACCAAAAAAAUGAGAGCAAAAUAUUACUCUAUGAUUGACAGAUAACGGAUUUGAAUUGGUAGAUCCAAAAGCAAAGAACUGAAACAGCAGCCUCAGUCAACGUAGUUCCUGGCCUCCUUCUAACCUGAAAGGAGACAGUGCCUUUGAAAAAGGAUUUAAAUUGUUUUUUGAGUUCUAUUCCAAAGAAUGAAAGAGAGAGAAAGGUAGUUGAGCCUGGCAUGCCCAGCAAUUCUUCCCAAGUUUAUUCCUAAGUUUAUCUACCAAAUGUCAUAACAUCUCUCCAAGGGCAAGUAAGUAAAGACCCAGUAAAAUAUUUUUGCAUGGAAACCAGGAGUAGAGGAAAGGCAUUACCCAGCACCCACAGACACUUAACAAUUUUCUUUCCAUUUUUUUCAUGUGGAAGUAUAACGUACAUACUACUCCUUUUUUUUUUUUUUUUUUUUUUUUUUUUGAGACGGAGUCUCCCUCUGUCGCCCAGGCUGGAGUGCAGUGGCGCGAUCUCGGCUCACGGCAAGCUCCGCCUCCCGGGUUCACGCCAUUUUCCUGCCUCAGCCUCCUGAGUAGCUGGAACUACAGGCGCCGCGCCACCACUCCCGGCUAAUUUUUUUAUUUUAUUUUAUUUUUUAUUUUUAGUAGAGACGGGGUUUCACCGUAGCCAGAAUGGUCUUGAUCUCCUGACCUCGUCAUCCGCCCGCCUCGGCCUCCCAAAGUGCUGGGCUUACAGGCGUGAGACACUGCGCCCGGCCCAUACUACUACUUUUUUGUAAGUAUUCUUUCAAAAUAUUUAUUUUCAUAUGCAUUUUUCGUUUACCUAAAUGACAUCAUGUAAACUAUUCCAUCUUGGCCCUUAAUUUUUUUUCUCCAAACACUUAAAUUUUCAAAUAAUCUUAGUGAAAAAUUAGCAGCUCAAUCGCUUUAAUUUUUAUUACUUUCACUGUUAAUAAAACUGAAUAAGUUUUCAUAAAGUUAAUAACCGUUUAUAUUUUCUUUUGUGAGGUGGCUAUUUAUAUAUUCUGUACAUUUUUCUCUUUUCUCUAUUGUUUCAUAUAUUUUUUCUUUUUCUUAUUGAUUUUUAAAGGUUCUGUAUGAGGUAAAUAUAUUAACCUCUAGCCAAAAAACGGGUAUUUGUCUUAUUAACUUAAUUAAAAUAAUUAAAUUAUUUUGUUCUAUUUUAAAACUAUGUAGAAUUUCUUUAAAUGUAAUCGGUUUAUGAUUUCUUGAGUUUUUAAAAAAUAUAAUGACAUUUCACCCAAACUAAUUAGCAAUAUUUUCUUCUAGUAUUUUGUAGUUUUCGUUUUUCAAUUUAUUCUGAUGUGAAAUCUAAAGAUAGGGCUUUUGUUUCCCCCAGAAUAAUGACCUAGGUGUCCAACACCACAUAUUGAAUAGAUCCAUUCUUUGUCCAGUGAUUUUAGCAGUAAUUUUUAUCAUAUGUUAACUUAGAUAUAAAACAGGGUCUGUUCAAUCAGAACUUCCAGGUGUGGUCAAACAGCAUGCAAAAUGCAGUAAGACACCUAAAAAAGGUCCAGUGCAGAAUAAAAUCCAGCCAAGCUCUUUUGCCAGCCAAGCCAAUGGAGCUUGCGAGCAAGAAGAAAGGGAUAUCUUUUCUAACUACAAAGGCAUCUUCGGCUCCUAGCCAAGCACCUGCAGAGCUUCCUUGGAAAGAAUUGGGCAUCAUGUGGGCUAGCGGUAGUCCUUUCCCAUUUAAUAGUCAGUGUAUUUCUGCAAUAGAACAUUAUUAAUUAUCUCAAACUAUCAUUGUUUAAAAUAUCUACUGGGGCAAAUUCUCCUUUAUUAUUUUCUCCCCCUUUCAAAGGUUUCAUCACUAUUCUCUCAAAGUUAUUUUUCCAAAUGAACUUUGGAUCCAUUCUGUUAAGUUUCCUUGUCACAACUUCCUAUUUCCUACCUUUGCCCACAAAAGUCUUCUGUUAGAAGUGUGUUCAACUCAUGUAUCAAUUUACUUGAAUUCACUUCAUUAUUCAAUUUUUUCUUCUGAUCCUGAAAAAGGAUGCUUUUUCAACUUGAAAAGACCUGACUCUGCACCCAUUCAAAUUAUAUUUUUACUCUCCAAUCUAUUAAAUUACCACUUGUUAAGUUCCAUGUUGUUGCUAAGAGUGAAAGGGCCAUUUUUCUACAACAAUUGCAGGACAUAAAUAAUACUUGGAAUAGAAGAGCCCUACUUAACACGAGUAAUGAGAGAAAGCACAGAUCUUAAUCAAGGGUCACAUUUCUGCUUCUUGUUCCAGUUCAUGUGCACUCUAGAUGAUAGUGAAUGAAUACCUUAUAUGGAGUCCAGCCAUGACCAAAAGACAGGAGCUAACACUCAGCUUCAUGGAAAGGCCCAAUCUAAUGUCCAGGAAUAGACUCCUGAGGGCUAAAAUAAUUCUGAGAGUGGCUUUUCUGUAAAAGGCAGUCUGUGGCAAGAAUUGUUGGAACAGAGACUUGCCAUGCUGGUUCUGCAUCAACAGUCUCUCUAGCUCAGCAAUCUGAGAAUACACACGGAUAAAGUGCUAUCAGUUCAAUGGAAAUUGGCAGGUUUUCAGAGGGUGUGACUGCAGAAGACUAUUGUUCAAUUUCAAAAAUGAAACCCUCCAGAAGCAAUUUCAAAGUUAUACAAAUCUUUCACGUAUACUGAGAGUGCAGGUGAAGAUCAUCCAUUUUCCACAUAAAAAUAAAUUGUUAAGGACUUUUAAAUGAACACCCCUACCUAAAAUGCAGUGUUCUGUUUGGAAAUCUGUACAUUAUACAAGUGAAGAGCAUAAUAAAUCUUGAAAAAAAUUAAAUUUUUUUCAUUGAAAUAUUUUUGUAGAGUGCCAUGAGUUUGGGGGAGAACUAGUGAAAUGUACAUCAACAAUUUUAUAGAUUUAUAAGACAGUUCUUAAAGUGUCAAGAAAGCUGUCAUGGCUUAAAUUUUAUUUACCGAAUUAAGCUUCAGAUAUUUCUUAUAAAAGUGAACUUCAGGCUGUUGAGUUUUGAAGGGUGAAGCAUAGGAUAAAGCUUUAAAGCAUGUGCUUUGGAGUCCAAAGUCACGGUUAAAAUGUAUUCUCUACUACUUACUGACUGUGAAAUCUUGGACAAGUCACUUUCUUCUCUGUAUUAGUUCAUUCUCACAUUGCUAUAAAGAACUACCUGACACUGGGUAAUUUAUGAAGAAAAGAGGUUUAAUUGACUCAGAGUUCCACAGACUGUACAGGAGGCAUGGCUGGGAGACCUCGGGAAACUUACAAUCAUGGUGGAGGGAGAAGGGGAAGCGAGCAUGUCUUCCCAUGGCAGAGCAAUAUACAGAGAGCAAAAGGGGAAGUGUUAUUCACUUUUAAACAACCAGAUUUCAUGAUAACUCACUCACUAUCACAUGAAUAGCAAGGGGAAAAUCUGCCCCCAUGAUCCAAUCACCUCCCACUGGGUCCCUUCCCCAACAUUGGGAAUUACAAUUCAACAUGAGAUUUGGGUGGGAACACAGAGCCAAACCGUAUCACUCUACUUUAAUAUUAGUUUUCUUAUUUUUGAAACAGUUGUCAAGAUUAAUUGAGUUAAUAAAUGUAAAGCACUUAGCAUAAUCUGGCAAGUAAGUAUAAAAUAAAUAAUGGCUUUUCAUGGAAACAGGUAAAACUAUCAAAACUUUUGAUAUGUUAGUGAAAGUUUUUCAUGAAACUGAAUCAAUAUGGGUCAAAAUAAAAGGAAAACAAUAGCUUUGGCUGAAAUUAAUCUAUAGAUGUACAUUUUUCUUGGAAAAAAUAAAAAUAUUUUUGGUGUUAUUUUUGUCUAGAAAGAAUAAUGAUUAUUUCUAUGAUUAUUUUUAUUUUUUAACCAAUCUACAGAAUUCAUUCAGAUAUCCCCAGAUUUUCUUUUUAUUUUUCAACCUUUAUUUUAGAUUUGGGGGUACAUGUACAGGUUUUGGUAUGUUGAGUGUAUUACCUGGGUGUAUUGUGUGAUGAUGAGGUUUGGGGUACAAAUGAUCUCAUCACCCAGGUACUGAACAUAGUACACAACAGUUAGUCCUUCAGCCCUUGUCUCCCUCACCUUCCUAGUAGUCCUCAGUGUCUAUUGCUGCCAUCUUUAUGUCCAUGAGUACCCAAUGUUUACCUUCCACUUAUAAGUGAGAACAUGCUGUAUUCAAUUUUCUGUUCCUGCGUUAAUUUGCUUAGGAUAAUGGCUUUCAGCUGCACCCAUGUUGCUGCAAAGGACAUAAUUUCAUUCUUUUUUGUCUGUAUAGUAUUUAGUGGUGUAUAUGUACCACAUUUUAUCAAAUCCACUACUAAUGUGCAAUUAAGUUGAUUCCAUGUCUUUGCUAUUGCG